rnacentral:lncRNA from 1 species
CUGUCACAAGCAGAGGAGCAGGCCUUCUGAACACUGGCAGUUUUUUGAAACAGGUUAGAGUUUCCUGCCUCUUAAUCAUUAAUCAGUUUGUUUUGUGUUUGACCCCAUUUAAUAGUAGUCAUUACUUCCAAGCUAAUCACAGCUCACUAGAGCAAGUCCUAUUUUUCUGAUUUUUAGAAGACGAAGGUGAGGGAGAGUGGAAGGAAUGAGAACACAAGAAAACGAAGAGAGACUGCAGACUGGAAGGGACAAUCACAUAAGAGAGAAAUUAGAAUUUCAGUCCAACAGCAUCUGUAUUCAAAGAGGGCUUUGUGUUUCAGCUGCAACAUCUAACCAGUAACUAUACGAUGCCUGGGAACAAAGGUAUUCCACUUUUCAGCUGGAUGCCAGAAAUUUCUGGCUAUGGCCUCAUCAUAACAGUGCUGAGCAACACACCAAGAUGUUGAAUGACUUGCCUCACUUUGAACAGCCUGUGGGUAUACUCAGGGACCAGAUGAACGUGCCUACUGGAUUGGGUUGCACCUUUGCAGCUCUGCAAGAGGGCUUGUCCAAAGCAGGGCAGUCUGGCCCGGGAGCAGCCUGGAGGGCAUGUUUCCUGAGGAAAACGAGGUGAGGAUCCCCCAGCCAUCGCGUGUGUCUCUCCCCCAGGCUUCCCACUGUCAAUGCCAGGUGGGGAGAAGACCACGUGGGAAAGAAAGACUGUCCUUAUCCUGGUCCACCCAUCCCCAGGCUGCUGGACAUUGCUGUUACUUCAUAACUGCCUUGGUCUUAUGUCAGUGCAAAAAAUCGUCAACCCAAUCACACCUUAUAAUCCUGUGUGCCUUCUGUUUGUAGAUGGUGAAAGCUGACACAGACAAGUUUUCUCGAUUUAAUCAUUAUAAAAUGCUCCACAUCCCUUGGUUUCCCCCUCCUUCUCCUUUUCUUCCCUCUUCCCCUCCCACAGCUGCCAUCCAGGGCUGCCAGCAUUGAUGCUUUUUGUCACGUUUUAUUGCUCCCUGCUGUACAUGCCUUUGGCACUUUUAGUCUUUCUCAGCUUUCAAAGCCUGGUAUCAUUUUGCUGGAAAGAUAAAAACUGUCCUCAUCUCUCUCCCUUUGAUUUUGUUUGGCAGGAUAAAAAGAAAACAGCAUUAUUACAGUCAUAAAGAACAAUUAAUAAUCCCUAUAUUUCAGUUCGCGGGUACCUCAAGGUUGACAGAUGAUGAAAGUGGUUUAAGAGUAAAGUGAUUCGGAGUGUGAGACAGAAUGAAUGUUGUGAUUAAUUAUAACAAAUCAGAUAACUGUAAUUUCAUCCAUGUCUCUGUACAGCCUGCUCCAUUGCUGCUUUGGAAACUCUGGCCUUGGAAACUACAUUCCUUGUGUAUGCAGAGAUCCUAGCCAAGGGUUAUGGGCUGUAAACAAGACUUAGCCACACCCUGAGACUUUCACAGCUUCACAUUCACUCCUUUCAUCCCCCAGACCAACCCUCUCCCCCAGGUCCCAAGUUCUUGCUCAGUGUCCCUGCCCAGCAGGGGUUUCAUCAGGUCUUCACUGUUCCUGUGGCCAAAAUCUCAAAUGCUGAUUAGGAGAGUGGGUUGAUGGAGACAGGGACGCUGCUUAUUUAAGAUAUUUCCCCACUAUUGAAAGAGAUAAUCAAACCUAUCUGGAAUGUUUUUGCUCAUACGUAAGCUUCCCACUGGUGUAACAGUGAUGGGGAGGUUCAUCAGAACAGCAAUGCCACUGAUGAAUUGGCAAACUGUCUCCACUGGUGACCUUGUUUUGAUGUCACAGUCAUUAAUUAUUGCCACUGUUCCUCUGGCAGGCAUCUUUGUUGGACAAGGUGGUGAGCAGCAUUGGG